UAACCCUUGUGGAGGAGGACGCCGAAGGUGGGGCUAAUGACUGGGGUGAAGUCGUAACAAGGUAGCCGUACCGGAAGGUGCGGCUGGAUCACCUCCUAACAGGGAGACAACAAAAUGUUAAAUAUUAAUUUUGUCACCUUAGGUCGAUCGGUAUCUCACAUCCUUAAUUCAUUUAAGGAUUUUAUUUCCUAAGUUUUUUCUAGGUCACACCCAUUAUUUCCCUGGGCCAUUAGCUCAGGUGGUUAGAGCGCACCCCUGAUAAGGGUGAGGUCCCUGGUUCAAGUCCAGGAUGGCCCAUAUCUCUAUGUUGGGGGUAUAGCUCAGUUGGUAGAGCGCCUGCUUUGCAAGCAGGAUGUCAGCGGUUCGAGUCCGCUUACCUCCACUGAUUACCACCUCUUCCAUAAUUUUUGAAGGGAAAUUUUUUGAGUUGUGACUAAAUUCUGAACGAAUCUAGCUUCCUAAUCUAAUUUAUUAAGAUGCUGGACUCAUUGAAUUGAUUUCAUUGUUUUCAGAGAACCUUGACAACUGCAUAGAUUAUUUUUAAAGACAAUAAGCAUCUUUAAUGAUGCAGAUUUAUUAUUUGUGCGAAUGCAUUAAUAACAAUUCUAUUAAGCUGAUGCUUCAAUUUUUGAAGUUAUUGGUCAAGCUACAAAGGGCUCACGGAGGA
rnacentral:misc_RNA from 1 species